GCAUUGGCCAGCACUACACAGGAAGGUGAAGUCCUCUCAACGGCGAGCCCUUUCAUCGCCACCACCACCCACCUGUCAAGAGGGGGCUGUUCAGGUGCGGAAGACACAACCCCUCAGCAGUACCACCCAACAGCAUCAUCUCCUGACACAUAUGAAACCGAAGCUGCAGAAGCUCUCCUCUCACUCACUAAUGGCCCAGAACCGAAUGAGAGGACGACACAGGAACAGGG